GACGAACGCUGGCGGCGUGCUUAACACAUGCAAGUCGAACGGAAAGGCCCUGCUUUGGUGGGGUGCUCGAGUGGCGAACGGGUGAGUAACACGUGAUUAACCUGCCCUUGACUUUGGGAUAACUUCAGGAAACUGGGGCUAAUACCUGAUAGGCGUUCCUGCUGCAUGGUGGGUGUUGGAAAUCUUCGGCGGUUGGGGUAGGACUCGCGGAUUUUCAGCUUGUUGGUGGGGUAUUGGCUUACCAAGGAUUUGAAGGUUAGCCGUCCUGAGAGGGUGGCCGGCCAGAUAGGGACGGAGAGACAGACCAGACAAACACGGAAGGCAGGAGUGGGGAAUAAUGAACAAUGGACGGAAGACUGAUGCAGCAACGAAGCGUGCGGGAUGAAGGACAUCGGGUGGUAAACAGAUUUCGCCUGUGACGAAGCGUGAGUGACGGUAAUGGGUAAAGAAGCACCGGCUAACUACGUG
rnacentral:rRNA from 1 species